rnacentral:rRNA from 1 species
UACAGAGGGUGCAAGCGUUGCUCGGAAUCAUUGGGCGUAAAGGGUAGGUAGGUGGUCUCGUUUGUCUGGGGUGAAAGCCUUGAGCUUAACUCAAGAAGUGCCUUAGAAACGGCGAGACUGGAGUCUUGGAGAGGGUCGUGGAAUUCCCGGUGUAGCGGUGAAAUGCGCAGAUAUCGGGAGGAACACCGGUGGCGAAGGCGGUUCUCUGGGCCUGUAUUGACGCUGAGGAGCGAAAGCGUGGGGAGCGAACAGG